UACGUAGGUGGCAAGCGUUGUCCGGAUUUAUUGGGUUUAAAGGGUGCGUAGGCGGUUUCUUAAGUCAGUGGUGAAAUACGGCAGCUCAACUGUCGAGGUGCCAUUGAUACUGUGGAACUUGAGUACAGACGAGGUAGGCGGAAUUGACGGUGUAGCGGUGAAAUGCUUAGAUAUCGUCAAGAACACCGAUAGCGAAGGCAGCUUACUAGACUGUAACUGACGCUGAGGCACGAAAGUGUGGGGAUCAAACAGG
rnacentral:rRNA from 1 species